rnacentral:misc_RNA from 1 species
UCCGGUUUGGCACCGGCAGUCCUCCCAGAGUCCUCAGCUUGACCUGGUAGCAACUGGGAGCGGGGGUUGCGCUCGUUGCGGGACUUAACCCAACAUCUCACGACACGAGCUGACGACGGCCAUGCACCACCUGUGAAGGUGUCCCGAAGGAAAACCGUGUUUCCACGGCGGUCACCUACAUGUCAAACCCAGGUAAGGUUCUUCGCGUUGCCUCGAAUUAAGCAACAUGCUCCGCUGCUUGUGCGGGCCCCCGUCAAUUCCUUUGAGUUUUAGCCUUGCGGCCGUACUCCCCAGGCGGGGUACUUAAUGCGUUAGCUGCGGCACCCAGGGGGUCAAUACCCCGGACACCUAGUGCCCAUCGUUUACAGCGUGGACUAC